UCCAGUGUGUGUGUGUCAGUCUAUUUCCUCAUCUACUAGUCCCUGGCUCCAGUGUGUGUGUGUCAGUCUAUUUCCUCAUCUACUAGUCCCUGGCUCCAGUGUGUGUGUGUCAGUCUAUUUCUGAGUGACCUCCCCCUCUGCUCGGUUGCAGGUAUUUGGAGACAGGCCCACCCCUGCAGAGAGCGUGAGCCACCUGGAUAUCCUCAUUGACCCCAUCCCUGACAAACACUACAAGGAGACAGAGGACCUGAGUCGCUGGGUGUCUGAGAAGACAGGCCGAGGCCCCCUGGUGGAAGGGUGGCGUAAGGACAGCACCCCCAUCAUGUGCUCCUAUAAGAGGGUGCAGUGCAGUUUCGAAGUCUACGGCCUCCAGGGCAAGACUGAGGACUUCAUACACAGGAACAUCCAGGACAUCCUACUGGUGGGGCACAGACAGGCUGUGGCCUGGACAGACGAAUGGCACGGUCAGUAGAGGACAUGGUUAUAAUGCCUUA